GACGAACCGUCCAAACGUUAUUCGGAAUCACUGGGCUUAAAGGGUGCGUAGGCGGCGCGGAAAGUUGGGUGUGAAAUCCCUCGGCUCAACCGAGGAACUGCGCCCAAAACUACCGUGCUCGAGGAAGAUAGAGGUGAGCGGAACUUAGGGUGGAGCGGUGAAAUGCGUUGAUAUCCUAAGGAACACCGGUGGCGAAGGCGGCUCACUGGCCCGAUACUGACGCUGAGGCACGAAAGCGUGGGGAGCAAACAGG
rnacentral:rRNA from 1 species